AGUUGUGCAAACAUGCAGCAUGAUCUAAGGAUGGUCAGGUACAAAAUCAAAUUGAAGUCUGCAGAAGCAAGGUCAGAGCUAAAACAUGCUUUAGACGUUUCUCUCCAAGUCAAAUGCUGUGUUAGAAAAUGUAAGAAUGAUUGAAAC